ACGGGGACCCGCACAAGCGGUGGAUGAUGUGGAUUAAUUCGAUGCAACGCGAAAAACCUUACCUACCCUUGACAUGCUAGGAACCCUGCUGAGAGGCGGGGGUGCCCGAAAGGGAGCCUAGACACAGGUGCUGCAUGGCUGUCGUCAGCUCGUGUCGUGAGAUGUUGGGUUAAGUCCCGCAACGAGCGCAACCCUUGCCGCUAAUUGCCAUCAUUCAGUUGGGCACUUUAGUGGGACUGCCGGUGACAAACCGGAGGAAGGUGGGGAUGACGUCAAGUCCUCAUGGCCCUUAUGGGUAGGGCUUCACACGUCAUACAAUGGCGCAUACAGAGGGCUGCAAAACCGCGAGGUGGAGCCAAUCCCAGAAAGUGCGUCGUAGUCCGGAUUGCAGUCUGCAACUCGACUGCAUGAAGUCGGAAUCGCUAGUAAUCGCGGAUCAGCAUGUCGCGGUGAAUACGUUCCCGGGAG
rnacentral:rRNA from 1 species